rnacentral:rRNA from 1 species
AUGCGUUAUUUUCCCUGUUUAUAUUUCAUGCGUUGGCGUUCUUCCAUUGUUGUUAAUACCUAUAACGUAGAUACUAUGCGUGUGCAUGCCCUUCCGUGGGUUCUUAAUGCCAAACUAGGCCCAGCUGUCGUAGUUGAUCCUCAGUUCUUGCAUAGCCAAUUUUUUGCCGGGUUGCUUUUGAGUGACGGCCACCUCUAUAAGACUUACAAAGUCACUCACAAUUCCGCCUUCAGCCUCGAGAUGAAGUGGGGUGAUCCUGGUUUGUCUAUGGUAGUUUCCACUUUUACCCUACUAAAGUCUGCCGGUCUUGCCACUGGUAACUUCGUAGAGCGUAAACGUACCGCAGAGGUUAAACCUAACGUUGAGCAAAGUUACGGUGUGGCUUAUGGAUACUCCCUGCGCCAUGCCCUUUUCACCGACCUGCGUCACAUUUGGUACCCAAAUGGAUACAAGAUCGUACCGGGUUGCGUAAAAGACUACCUGUCUCCUGUCUGCCUCUACACUUGGUUUGCUGGUGACGGCAAUGCGCGUGGCGCCGGAGUCGAGUUUAACACUCAAAGCUUCCAACAUGACGAUGUUCUAUUUUUGGCUGAUAUUCUUCUGACUAAGUAUCAACUUCAAUCCGAGAUUCAAACCGAGGGUAAAGGUUACGUUAUCGUACUUAAACAGAAAGCCGCUCGUCAGUUCGCUGGCUUGAUUCAUACAUUGGUGCCGACCUGUUAUAGUUACAAAUUGAAACACCUACGUAACUAGAACUAGCCCACCACCUUAGGCACAGGCAAACUAACAUGCUCAACCUUAGUUGUUAUUUUUCAUUUUAAACAUACCGUACUGCAAACCGACUCAGGUGGGCUAGUAUAUGUACUCAGGCCAUAGAAUCAACCAUGUUAAAGUAACUCGGCAAAAUGCACGCGUGACCUCGGAGGAAGCGUGGCUAAAAAGACUCAGCAAAUAGCCGACAGCGACUGUUUACCAAAAACACAGGAUAGUGCUAACAGACGUAAAUUAAGCUGCAAAAAGCGGUUUUAUUUUUGGAUGUAUACUAUCCGACGCCUGCCCAAAGGUGAAGAAAAACGGCGGCAGUAACUCUAACUGUCCUAAGGUAGCGAAAUUCCUUGACGUUUAAUUGGCGUCCUUGCAUGAAUGGCUGAACGACUGUCGGGCUGUCUCUAACAUGGAAUCUGUGAAUUUGAAAUCUUCGUGCAGAUGCGAAGGCGCUGGCAAGGGACGAAGAGACCCUAUGCAGCUUCGCUGGGUGCUAAGAGUUGGUCGUGAAUUGUUGUAGUGGGUUGGAAACUGACAGGUUCAAUACCUGAUUACCACGUACUUCUAGACAUUUACUCUUAUCCUCAAGCUUUUCUGGGACGGAUGCUUCCUGAAUAGUAACGGGAGUGAUCAAUGGUACUGCUAACGACUUAAAUAGAAAGCAGUGCUUGACUGUAAGAACCACAGUUCGAGCAGGGACGCAAGUCGGCAUUAAUGACCCAGGGUAACAUUUUAUC